rnacentral:rRNA from 1 species
ACGAACGCUGGCGGCGUGCUUAACACAUGCAAGUCGAACGGUGAAGCCUUUCGGGGUGGAUCAGUGGCGAACGGGUGAGUAACACGUGGGCAAUCUGCCCUGCACUCUGGGACAAGCCCUGGAAACGGGGUCUAAUACCGGAUAUGACCUUCCUUCGCAUGGGGGUGGGUGUAAAGCUUCGGUGGUGCAGGAUGAGCCCGCGGCCUAUCAGCUUGUUGGUGGGGUGAUGGCCUACCAAGGCGACGACGGGUAGCCG